rnacentral:rRNA from 1 species
AGGGAAUCUUCCACAAUGGACGCAAGUCUGAUGGAGCAACGCCGCGUGAGUGAAGAAGGUUUUCGGAUCGUAAAGCUCUGUUGUUGGUGAAGAAGGAUAGAGGCAGUAACUGGUCUUUAUUUGACGGUAAUCAACCAGAAAGUCACGGCUAACUACGUGCCAGCAGCCGCGGUAAUACGUAGGUGGCAAGCGUUGUCCGGAUUUAUUGGGCGUAAAGCGAGCGCAGGCGGAAUGAUAAGUCUGAUGUGAAAGCCCACGGCUCAACCGUGGAACUGCAUCGGAAACUGUCAUUCUUGAGUGCAGAAGAGGAGAGUGGAACUCCAUGUGUAGCGGUGGAAUGCGUAGAUAUAUGGAAGAACACCAGUGGCGAAGGCGGCUCUCUGGUCUGCAACUGACGCUGAGGCUCGAAAGCAUGGGUAGCGAACAGGAUUAGAUACCCUGGUAGUCCAUGCCGUAAACGAUGAGCGCUAGGUGUUGGGGGACUU